rnacentral:rRNA from 1 species
CCUACGGGAGGCUGCAGUGAGGAAUAUUGGUCAAUGGGCGCGAGCCUGAACCAGCCAAGUAGCGUGAAGGAUGACUGCCCUACGGGGUGUAAACUUCUUUUAUAAAGGAAUAAAGUGCGGCACGUGUGCCUUUUUGUAUGUACUUUAUGAUUCAGGAUCGGCUAACUCCGUGCCAGCAGCCGCGGUAAUACGGAGGAUCCGUGCGUUAUCCGGCUUUAUUGGGUUUAAAGGGAGCGUAGAUGGGUUGUUAAGUCAGUUGUGAAAGUUUGCGGCUCAACCGUAAAAUUGCAAUUGAUACUGGCAGUCUUGAGUACAGUUGAGGUAGGCGGAAUUCGUGGUGUAGCGGUGAAAUGCUUAGAUAUCACGAAGAACUCCGAUUGCGAAGGCAGCUUACUAAACUGCAACUGACAUUGAUGCUCGAAAGUGUGGGUAUCAAACAGGAUUAGAUACCCGGGUAGUC